CACUGUCUUCACAUACAAUUUGUUUUGCAUUCUAAAUGUAGGGUAUGAAACUUUCAUAUAAUACCAGGCCUGACAAUAUCCACUUUUCCAACCUCAUUUUUUUUUUUUUUUUUUUUUUUUUUUUACAUCAUCAAAUUUCACAAUCAACAAGUUUCAUAUGCUGGCUGACACAUCGCCUGUUCUAACCAUUGCCCACAACUCUGCCAAGCAAUUAAAUGACCAGUUUCAGGGUUUAAGAUUUAAGGUACACAAACCUUAUCGACAAAUGUUAUAUACACCUAUUUUUUAAUUUUUUGUGUGGGAAAUAUUAGCGACCCCAGAACAUACCAGCAAGCAAAAGUGAUUAUGAAGGUUUGAUGCGUAAGUAGCUGGUGCGAUCUGAAGCAAACAAAGAGGAAAAAAAUAAAAGGAAGAAGAAGCUGAAGACGAAGAGAACGACACAAAUGGACUUGAGCUUGUGUGAGCCGGAGCCCAUUUGACAAUUGGUUCGCAAGGUGCAGAUAAGUAACAACGAGGUCUCGAUUGGAUACGAUAAAGCUGAGUAAUGAGAUGUAGGGGAAAGGCAUGGCCGCUAUAGGCUGAAAGGCGAAAAGGUGCCAUAAUUGGGGGUUUCGGUGCAGAGGCAAGUUCGGAGCUACGGCAUCAAUACUGACGAUCCUUUUUCUCGCGUCAUCGACUACCUUAAUUUCCUUCAUUGUUGAACAGAUUCGCAUCCACCAUCUCUGUGCUCAUUCAUCCCCCGUCUCCAUUGAGUCCAAGCAUCGAAUCGGACCAAUAUCGCCUUUACAGAUCUUCUGUAACCAGGCCACGACCUCGCAGGGCCACCCAAAAAGGAAGGCCCCAUUAUUGAACGCCUGUGGCAUUACAGCAACAACCUUUCUUGCCCGGUAUUCGGGUCCCUGCGAGAGAGCCUUUUGAAGCCCAGGUGGACCUUUCUCUUAAGAAAAUUCCUAUAGUCUGUUUCUGGAAAAAGUGGUGAGUUCUACUUUGGAAAUGAAGUCUUAAAAUACACAGACUGCACAUGAACGUUAGCACCUCUGUAAAGGCUUCGAUCUGAGAAAGGAGGGUUCGAGGAAAUAUGUUGCUGAGAAUCCUGAUGCCAUGUUCAAGGAUUUCACACAGGGUGUUAGAAGAGGUGGAAACCAAACGGGCCCACUGGAAAUUCCCAUCGUCGGAUAUGACCUUGCUCCCACGAUUAGGUUCAGGCGCGAUGCCUUGGAAGGAGCAGACUGCCCGUAACUGAUUCAACCGCUCAUUGAUGGAAUUCCAGUCCCAGAGCUCAGGAUGCGUGCAAAAGCUGCAAUGAGACAAUGCGCAGGCGUAGGCUCGCACUUAUUCGGAAAGCCUACAAGUAGGAGUGUCAGGGCCAGCUUUUUCCCCCUGGAGACCUCUGUUUUAUGACGACUGCUUCAGCUUCCGAGAAAACAACGGCACGCUGCAGAGCUUUUUGCGGGCAAAGUCUGGCGCCACACGUUCGCAGUGGGAGAGACAGAGUUUGUCAGUAUGCGCGCGAUUAUACACUGCUAAGUGUUGCCCACUCUUCUUCUUCGUUGUUUUUCGUCUUCGUUGUCCUUAGUUUCUUCGUCUUCGUCAUGUUUUUUGCCUCGUCUCUGUCGUCUUCUCUUCCUUCGUCGUCGUCUUCUGCUAUCUUUGGCAGCAGACUCACAAAUCUGGUUUGGAUGAAUGAGUCAGGUGAGAAUGGGCGCAGAAUGAAGAGGUUCUAUUUGCAAUUGGAAGUGAUAGUUUUUUGAAUGGACCCAGUAUUUUUGGUCUGAGUGGUGAAGAUGUUGGCAGUGGAGGCAAUGCAAUGAAGGAGAGAUCAAGUGAUAGCUCUUUGCAAAGCAUACUAAAAAGUUAAAACAUGGCAAUGGAGAGAAAGGGUUGGAAUGGAACCUUGAUAACUUGCCUUAUCACCUUCCUUAACCUUAAAUAUUAUACUGGUUGGAUAGUUAGUUUGUCAACAAUCUAUCAAUGUAAAUAAUAUGCAAUAUUAUAAGAAGGGAACAAAGACUUGUUGUUUGAUGGA